UACGUAGGGUGCGAGCGUUGUCCGGAAUUAUUGGGCGUAAAGAGCUCGUAGGCGGUUUGUUGCGUCUAUCGUGAAAACCUGCAGCUUAACUGUGGGCUUGCGGUGGAUACGGGCAGACUUGAGUUCGGUAGGGGAGACUGGAAUUCCUGGUGUAGCGGUGAAAUGCGCAGAUAUCAGGAGGAACACCGGUGGCGAAGGCGGGUCUCUGGGACGUGACUGACGCUGAGACGCGAAAGCGUGGGGGAGCAAACAGG
rnacentral:rRNA from 1 species